GAAAUGCAACUGUUUGAAUUCGAUUCCACCAAGUAUAGAAGCGUGAUGAACCGAGCCGAGCUUGAGCUUUGAAGAUUUCAGCAGCCCAUGCUUAUUCAUGGGAGAUUCUCAACUUUAUGGAAGAGGUAGAGGUGGGCUUGGAGGGGGCGAUGCCUCCAAGGAUCGCUUGGUUCUUUAUGAACGGUUGCUCUAACAACCUUUCAAAAUUGUUCGGGCCAUUUAGCUUGAAAUUGGGUCGAGUACUAGCAUUCCGAGAUGGUCCGGCGAUCUGAAGGACGGGACCACCGGUGGAGAAUCUCUCUUAAACA
rnacentral:misc_RNA from 1 species